ensembl:snRNA U6 U6 spliceosomal RNA
GUGCUCGCUUUGGCAGCACAUACACUAAAAUUGGAACGAUACAGAGAAGAUUAGCAUGGCCCCUGCACAAGGAUGACAUGCAAAUUCGUGAAGCGUUCCUUUUUUUU